AGGGAGGAGCAGAACAUAACAUUCCAGUUGUCAUUUCAAAAAUCUCCAAGGAGCAAAGAGCGGAACUUUCUGGACUGCUCUUUAUUGGGGAUGCAAUUCUACAGAUAAAUGGAAUCAAUGUGAGAAAAUGCAGACAUGAAGAAGUGGUUCAGGUUCUUCGGAAUGCUGGUGAAGAAGUGACCCUAACCGUGUCAUUUUUAAAAAGAGCACCUGCUUUCCUCAAACUUC